rfam:Danio rerio chromosome 9 genomic contig CTG875, GRCz11 reference primary assembly.
GGCUCGUUGGUCUAGGGGUAUGAUUCUCGCUUUGGGUGUGAGAGGUCCUGGGUUCAAAUCCCGGAUGAGCCC